GGGGGUGUAGCUCAGUUGGGAGAGCGCCUGCUUUGCACGCAGGAGGUCAUCGGUUCAAACCCGUUCACCUCCACCA
rnacentral:tRNA from 2 species